rnacentral:lncRNA from 1 species
GUACAAUUAAGUCAGGCCUAACUCACUCUCUAUCCUGAAUAGCUUUUUUUUUUUCCCCUGGAUUCCUGAUUGCUUUGCUUAUUUUCAGAUUUAGUGACUCAAUUCAACUUUUAAAGUCCCAGUUAAAGUUUAGUGCUGGGGCACAGAUAAAAUUCUGAAAAAAGCUACUCUACUAAUAACAGGAACAUGGAUGAAGAGCUGCUUGAAGGAGUAUGGGCAGCUAAGAUCUCCUCAUCUUCAUGAUUAUUAUCUUCUCACUUCUUUGGAGCAGGAAGAUCAUGAGAAACCUUCUCUACAGUUUCAUACUAUGCCUGAUGUGUACCACUCUCCUCCCCCAGUGGAAAGGAGGAUGGACAAGACAAUGAACAUGUAUUGUUAUCUCCCCAGGAAUGUAACUUCUCAGCCACUGCUCCAGAACUAUGCCUGCCUGCCUGCCUGCCUUCUGCCUGCUUCCAUGUUCCCCACCAUGAUGGGCAUGGACUCUAAUCCUCAAAGUCCCCCUCCCUUCUCUCCUCCCAAUACCCCCACUUGCUCCCCU